GUGUUGUGUGAAAGGAAGGAAGGUUAGAACUCCCCUUGACAAGAAUGGAAGAGGCCCUCGCACCCAGACAACACGCAUAUGGUUACAGCAUUGCCACCUACUUUGUGGCAUCUAACCAUGGGUUUCA